rnacentral:rRNA from 1 species
UACGUAGGGGGCAAGCGUUGUCCGGAAUCAUUGGGCGUAAAGCGCGUGUAGGCGGCCAGAUAAGUCCGUUCUGAAAGCCCGGGGCUCAACCCCGGGAGGCGGAUGGAUACUGUUUGGCUCGAGUCCGGAAGAGGCGAGUGGAACUCCUGGUGUAGCGGUGGAAUGCGCAGAUAUCAGGAAGAACACCAACGGCGAAGGCAGCUCGCUGGGACGGUACUGACGCUGGAGACGCGAAAGCGUGGGGAGCGAACAGG